rnacentral:rRNA from 1 species
UGGGCUAGAAUGCGAGUGCUAUCUGCAGAGAUGCAGAGUUCUUCGGACACGAAGCAAGGUGCUGCAUGGUUGUCGUCAGCUCGUGCCGUGAGGUGUUGGGUUAAGUCCCGCAACGAGCGCAACCCCUAUUCUUAGUUGCCAGCAUGUAAUGAUGGGGACUCUAAGGAGACUGCCUGCGCAAGCAGAGAGGAAGGAGGGGAUGACGUCAAAUCAUCAUGGCCCUUACGCCCAGGGCUACACACGUGCUACAAUGGCGCAUACAGAGGGUCGCGACACGGCAACGUGAAGCCAAUCUCAAAAAGUGCGUCUCAGUUCGGAUUGAGGUCUGCAACUCGACCUCAUGAAGCUGGAAUCGCUAGUAAUCGCGCAUCAGCAAUGGCGCGGUGAAUACGUUCCCGGACC